CUUAGGGUUUACACCCAUUUGUGCUUUGGAUCUUCAAACCAAUAGGUUUUAUGUAUAAAAGGGGUUUAAUGCAUAUAUAAGCUAUCCCAUAAUUUUUGGAUAAUUCUUUGGAGCUGAAAAAGUAUUUUAUUUAAAUAGAUAUAUAGCCCUAAGGCAUUUAUAGGGCAAAUGUAUUUUUAUGUAUUUUAUUUCGAGGGGAAAUUACUCCCAAAAGUUGAAUCAUGGUAGAACAUGAUUUUAGAAAUUUUCUAGAAUUUAUUUGGACCAAUUUGGAGUUCAAAAUCAAAAGAUAUCAAAGAAAUAAGAAAAGCAGAAAAAGAAAAGGGCUAAAAGAAAAAAAAGGGGAAAACCGGACCGGCCCGGCC
rnacentral:lncRNA from 1 species